GAUGAACGCUAGCGGGAGGCCUAACACAUGCAAGCCGAGCGGUAGAGAUUCUUCGGGAUCUUGAGAGCGGCGUACGGGUGCGGAACACGUGUGCAACCUGCCUUUAUCAGGGGGAUAGCCUUUCGAAAGGAAGAUUAAUACCCCAUAAUAUAUUGAUCGGCAUCAAUUAAUAUUGAAAACUCCGGUGGAUAGAGAUGGGCACGCGCAAGAUUAGAUAGUUGGUAGGGUAACGGCCUACCAAGUCAAUGAUCUUUAGGGGGCCUGAGAGGGUGAUCCCCCACACUGGUACUGAGACACGGACCAGACUCCUACGGGAGGCAGCAGUGAGGAAUAUUGGACAAUGGGUGAGAGCCUGAUCCAGCCAUCCCGCGUGAAGGACGACGGCCCUAUGGGUUGUAAACUUCUUUUGUAUAGGGAUAAACCUUUCCACGUGUGGAAAGUUGAAGGUACUAUACGAAUAAGCACCGGCUAACUCCGUGCCAGCAGCCGCCGCGG
rnacentral:rRNA from 1 species